rnacentral:rRNA from 1 species
GCCCAGAUGGGAUUAGCUUGUUGGUGAGGUAACGGCUCACCAAGGCGACGAUCCCUAGCUGGUCUGAGAGGAUGACCAGCCACACUGGAACUGAGACACGGUCCAGACUCCUACGGGAGGCAGCAGUGGGGAAUAUUGCACAAUGGGCGCAAGCCUGAUGCAGCCAUGCCGCGUGUAUGAAGAAGGCCUUCGGGUUGUAAAGUACUUUCAGCGGGGAGGAAGGUGUUGUGGUUAAUAACCGCAGCAAUUGACGUUACCCGCAGAAGAAGCACCGGCUAACUCCGUGCCAGCAGCCGCGGUAAUACGGAGGGUGCAAGCGUUAAUCGGAAUUACUGGGCGUAAAGCGCACGCAGGCGGUCUGUCAAGUCGGAUG